rnacentral:rRNA from 1 species
UCAUAUUUACAAGUUAUAUCGAUUAAUAAAAACAAUAGUUUUAAAUUCAAAGAACUUGGCGGUGUUUUAUAUAAAAUCAGGGAAGCCUGUUUCUUAAUAUGAUAAUCCACAAAUAUCUUACCAUAUCUCGAAAGCAGUUUGUAUACUACCGUAUAAAGCUUAAUUAUGAUAUUUAAGCAAUAAAUUCAUUAAAUAUAAUAACAGGCCAAAGUACAGCUAAUGAUAUGAGUGAAUAUGGGCUACAUUUAUAUAUAUAAAUUAGUAACUUAAUAAUAAUUAGAGAACUUGAUAGUAAUAAAUCUUUAUUAUAGUUUUAUAAAUUAAUAAUAAUACAUGCACAUAUCCGCCCGUCACUCUUAUUGAAAAAUA